rnacentral:rRNA from 1 species
GAUUGCUGUGAUGGGGGUGGUUUGCCGCCACGACGCAGCGAGAAGUUCAUUGAACCUUAUCAUUUAGAGGAAGGAGAAGUCGUAACAAGGUUUCCGUAGGUGAACCUGCGGAAGGAUCAUUG